GAUGAACGCUGGCGGCGUGCCUAAUACAUGCAAGUCGAGCGAAGCGGGGACGGGUGAGUAACACGUGGAUAACCUCCUUUACGAAUGGGAUAACUUCGGGAAACCGGUGCUAAACCUGCUACUCAUAGAUGGAUCCGCGCUGCAUUAGCUAGUUGGUAAGGUAACGGCUUACCAAGGCCACGAUGCAUAGCCGACCUGAGAGGGUGAUCGGCCACACUGGGACUGAGACACGGUCCAGACUCCUACGGGAGGCAGCAGUAGGGAAUCUUCGGCAAUGGGCGAAAGUCUGACGGAGCAACGCCGCGUGAGUGAAGAAGGUCUUCGGAUCGUAAAACUCUGUUAUUAGGGAAGCGGUACCUAAUCAGAAAGCCACGGCUAACUACGUGCCAGCAGCCGCGGUAAUAC
rnacentral:rRNA from 1 species